UAGCUGCAGCAUGGUUAUGAAAUUUAAGUACUCUACCAAAAAGGGGACUACGGGCUUCAACAUCAGUAAAUUAAUUAGGAAAUAACACUUCCAAGAUCAUCUACUGCCACCAAGUUCAUGUAGAUCAAAUGUUCAUAGCCAUCAGCAGGUGCAUGAAUUCAGAGGCUGGACGUGAUGGAAAAUCACAGCUGAGAUUUAUAGUGUUGCGAUGCUAAUUUAGAGAUCUUGGCAAGCAAGAUGUAUGCAAAUUAUUCCGUCGUCUCCUCAACAGCUUCUGGAUGUUCGAAAAUACAAAGCUACUGGCUGGUUUUGAAUACUACUUCCGAACCUAGCCAAAGAGAAGCAGGAGGUUGUCUUGCUGUUAACACUAAUUGCUGCAAGAAAAUGGCAACUUAUUUUUGCCUCUAAUUUAGUGUGAUCAGUUCACCG